UUCCAGACUCCUACGGGAGGCAGCAGUGGGGGAUAUUGCACAAUGGGGGAAACCCUGAUGCAGCGACGCCGCGUGGGUGAAGAAGCGCCUCGGCGCGUAAAGCCCUGUCAGCAGGGAAGAAAAUGACGGUACCUGAAGAAGAAGCCCCGGCUAACUACGUGCCAGCAGCCGCGGUAAUACGUAGGGGGCAAGCGUUAUCCGGAUUUACUGGGUGUAAAGGGCGUGUAGGCGGGAAAGCAAGUCAGAUGUGAAAACCAUGGGCUCAACCUGUGGCCUGCAUUUGAAACUGUGUUUCUUGAGUACUGGAGAGGCAGACGGAAUUCCUAGUGUAGCGGUGAAAUGCGUAGAUAUUAGGAGGAACACCAGUGGCGAAGGCGGCUUACUGGACUGUAACUGACGUUGAGGCUCGAAAGCGUGGGGAGCAAACAGGAUUAGAUACCCGGGUAC
rnacentral:rRNA from 1 species